rnacentral:rRNA from 1 species
UAAUACAGGGGGUGCAAACGUUGCUCGGAAUCAUUGGGCGUAAAGCGCACGUAGGCGGUCUGUUAUGUCGGAUGUGAAAGCCCUUGGCUCAACUGAGGAAGUGCAUCCGAAACUGGCAGGCUAGAGUACUAAAGAGGGUCGCGGAAUUCCCGGUGUAGUGGUGAAAUGCGUAGAUAUCGGGAGGAACACCAGUGGCGAAGGC